UACAGAGGGUGCGAGCGUUAAUCGGAAUUACUGGGCGUAAAGCGUGCGUAGACGGUCAUGUAAGUCGGAUGUGAAAGCCCCGGGCUCAACCUGGGAAUUGCAUUCGAGACUGCAAGGCUUGGGUGCGGAAGAGGGAAGCGGAAUUUCUGGUGUAGCGGUGAAAUGCGUAGAUAUCGGAAGGAACACCAGUGGCGAAAGCGGCUUCCUGGUCCGACACCGACGUUCAGGCACGAAAGCGUGGGGAGCAAACAGG
rnacentral:rRNA from 1 species